UUCACUGAUAUCUGAUAAUGUUUUUCAGAACUUUGCCAAGAAUAUUUUUGCAAUUCUUCAAUCAGUAAAAGCCAGAGAAGAAGGCCGAGCACCUGAGCAAAGACCUGCACCAAAUACAGCACCUACGGAUCCCACUUUACGAAAUAAGCAACCUAUUCCAGCUGCCUACAACAGAUACGAUCAGGAAAGAUUCAAAGGCAAAGAGGAAACGGAGGGCUUUAAAAUUGAUACCAUGGGCACCUAUCACGGAAUGACUCUGAAGUCUGUAACGGUAAGCUGAAGGUUUUUUCUUAAAUGUGCUUUA